rnacentral:rRNA from 1 species
UACGAAGGGGGCUAGCGUUGCUCGGAAUUACUGGGCGUAAAGGGCGCGUAGGCGGCACUGUUAGUCAGGCGUGAAAGUCCUGGGCUCAACCUGGGAACUGCGCUUGAUACGGCAGAGCUAGAGGAUGGAAGAGGGUCGCGGAAUUCCCAGUGUAGAGGUGAAAUUCGUAGAUAUUGGGAAGAACACCGGUGGCGAAGGCGGCUCACUGGCUCGUAUCUGACGCUCAGGCGCGACAGCGUGGGGAUCAAACAGG